AGUGAACGCUGGCGGUAGGCCUAACACACGCAAGUCGAACGGCAGCACAGUAAGAGCUUGCUCUUACGGGUGGCGAGUGGCGGACGGGUGAGGAAUACAUCGGAAUCUACUUUUUCGUGGGGGAUAACGUAGGGAAACUUACGCUAAUACCGCAUACGACCUACGGGUGAAAGCAGGGGAUCUUCGGACCUUGCGCGAUUGAAUGAGCCGAUGUCGGAUUAGCCAGUUGGCGGGGUAAAGGCCCACCAAGGCGACGAUCCGUAGCUGGUCUGAGAGGAUGAUCAGCCACACUGGAACUGAGACACGGUCCAGACUCCUACGGGAGGCAGCAGUGGGGAAUAUUGGACAAUGGGCGCAAGCCUGAUCCAGCCAUACCGCGUGGGUGAAGAAGGCCUUCGGGUUGUAAAGCCCUUUUGUUGGGAAAGAAAAGCAGCAGGUUAAUACCCCGCUGUUCUGACGGUACCCAAAGAAUAAGCACCGGCUAACUUCGUG
rnacentral:rRNA from 1 species